rnacentral:rRNA from 1 species
CCUACGGGAGGCAGCAGUGAGGAAUAUUGGUCAAUGGGCGGGAGCCUGAACCAGCCAAGUCGCGUGAGGGAAGACGGUCCUAUGGAUUGUAAACCUCUUUAGGCGGGGAGCAAUGCCGGGCACGCGUGCCCGGAGGGAGAGUACCCGCAGAAUAAGCAUCGGCAAACUCCGUGCCAGCAGCCGCGGUAAUACGGAGGAUGCGAGCGUUAUCCGGAUUUAUGGGGUUAAAAGGGUGCGUAGGCGGAGUUUUAAGUCAGCGGUAAAAUGUCCGGGCUCAACCCGGGCCGGCCGUUGAAACUGGGGAUCUUGAGUGGGCGAGAAGUAUGCGGAAUGCGUGGUGUAGCGGUGAAAUGCAUAGAUAUCACGCAGAACUCCGAUUGCGAAGGCAGCAUACCGGCGCCCGACUGACGCUGAGGCACGAAAGCGUGGGGAUCGAACAGGAUUAGAUACCCCAGUAGUC